rnacentral:lncRNA from 1 species
UUUUAUUUUACACAAAAUGAACGUGUGGAACUUGUAAUACUUUAACACCAUGUAAUAUUUGACCCUUCAUAUCUUAUUUCUUUUUUUUAAAGUUUAUUUAUUUUGAGGGAGAGAGAGAGAGUGAACAAGAGAGAGAGCAUGUACACGUGGGUGGGAGAGGCACAGAGAGAUUGGGAGGGAGAGAAUCCCAAGCAGGCUCCAUGCUGUCAGUGCAGAGCCUAAUGCAGGGCUCAAAUCAUGAACCAUGAGAUCUUGACCUGAAGCAAAAUCAAGAGCCGGACACUUAACCAACUGAGCCACCCAGGUACCCCCUUCAUAUCUUAUUUCUGUUUGUGGAGAGAUAUUAUUUAGGAAUUAAAUUUCUCAUUUAUUGACUCACCUACACCUAUUUAAAUAUGUAAUUUCUCCUGUUGAUUAUAGAGACUUGGUGCUAGGAAUGAGAGAGCUAUUUUGAAAGUAUCUUAAAAUUUAUAAAUUUCUUUAUAGUUACUUAAGAAUAAAACGCCCUUGAUUCUUUGCUUUGUAUCUAUACCCUCCCUCCACACUUACAGGCAAAUGAAAUAAACUCUUCACCAGCAUUAAUGAAUCAGUCAGCCUCACACAUCUUCAGCUUGAGUCCAGAGAUAAGAGAAUGGGCCAAAAUACUGAGAUGAGUGGGCCUUAUUUGUGAAGGAGCCACAGAAGCCGGGGGCAUGCAUUUUUUUUUUUUUUGGCUCAAAUUGAUGUAACCUGGAGUUUGUUUGAUCUUGGGAGUUAAGUGGGUCAGUCUAUCAAAAAGCCAUUGUAACAGAGUGCCUUGAGGAAGUUGGUGCCGGAAAGAAGACAUUUUUAAAACAUGCGCAUGGAGUGAAGAUAUCUGGGAAACAGAAACCUUUAAUAUUUUUAUUCAUAGAUACAGUAAUUCACUAUCCUGCGUCAAACGCCUGGAAGUGCUGGCAUGGAGUGAGGACAGGACAUCUGCUCCCUGGGGCUGGGCACAUGCCAUCAGACUGAAAGGAGGCCCACCGAGAAUGGUGUCAGAUUAUAGCCUGGAUGAUGCCUCUCCAGAUAAGGGACAGGAAGAUCUUUCUCUGGAGAAACUGAAACACCAACUGGGGAUCCCCAACAAAAAUAGGUCCAACUUCUCCAUUGUCCUUCCACCAGUCUACAGCUCUGCCUGCCCUGAGAACUUCCAAUCAGCAUUUGGGUGCUUCACCCUCCAAUAGAGAGAGACACACAAGGAUCGUCAGAAGGUAAGGAGUGCUAGAAGGAAAAGGCUAAAUCAAGAGGAAAUAGCAAAUAAGGGGGUACCUGACUAAGCGUCGACUCUUGAUUUCGGCUCAGGUCAUGGUGUCUGGGUUGUGGGAUUGAGCCCUGCUUCAGGCUCUGUGCUGAGUGUGGAUCCUGCUUGAGAUUCUCACUCUCUCCCUCUCUGCCCCUCUCCCCUUCCCCUGCUCACACUCUCUCUCAUCCUCUCUCUUUAAAAAAAAAGAAAGAACAAAUAAGUAGAAAAGGGGGUG